AAUUCCUGAAUUCUCGCCUUAUGUAAAAUAGUCUUAUCUGGUGAAGCUGAUUGAAUGAUUAGAGGCCUUAGGAUCGAAACGAGCCUAACCUAUUCUCAAACUUUAAAUAGGUAAGAGCCACACCUUUCUUAUGAAGGUGUGAUAGUGAUAUAAUGUGCCCAGUGGGCCACUUUUGGUAAGCAGAACUGGCGCUGUGGGAUGAACCA
rnacentral:ncRNA from 1 species